rnacentral:lncRNA from 1 species
GGUAUCAUUAUAUCAUUAGGAUUACCUAACUCUAGACGGGGGUAACAACAUAUAAUAAAAAGGAUAGUGUGACAUAAAAGAACAUAUGACUAUUUAAGAUAAACGAGGUAGCUAGUGAGAGGAUAAAAAGUGAGUACAAGGUUCCUACCAAACGAUUACGCCCUCUAAUGCCACUGGCACGAGGAGAAGGACAACCAAUGACAUCGUGGAGAUAAAGCACAUGUCAGAGAUCGAUGAUGGCAUGAAGGAAGAAACUGGCAGCAGUCGAUGUAGAGGUGCACGAGGAGGAGCCUCGCGUGGAGGAUCAACCUUGACGAUGGUGUAGAGGAGCACCAAAAGGAAAAAAAAAAUCUGGGGCG